rnacentral:rRNA from 1 species
AAUGAACGUUGGCGGCGUGGAUUAGGCAUGCAAGUCGAGCGCGAACCGUAGCAAUACGGGGAGAGCGGCGAAAGGGAGAGGAAUGCGUGGUUACCUACCCUCAGGUUCAGGAUAGCUAUGGGAAACUAUAGGUAAUACUGAAUAAUAUCUCCGGAUCAAAGGUGUGAUUCCACCUGAGGAGGGGACCGCGUCCUAUUAGCUAGUUGGCGAGGUAACGGCUCACCAAGGCGAAGAUGGGUAUGGGGUGUGAGAGCAUGACCCCACUCACUGGGACUGAGACACUGCCCAGACACCUACGGGAGCUG